AUCUCCUCGUGGAGAUCUCUCUUUGGUGAAGCUUUUUCCUGCAAACCUGGAAUCUUCUGAUAUGGCAUGGUUUGACCUGGUUGUGGUCCAAGGGUUUAUCUUGGGAUGUUAACAUCAAGAUCCAAGUGUUUUCCAGACCUUUGCUUGCCUGUGCAUCUUCAGAGCAAGCCGUUCCUUUGCCUCAAAGCCAAGCUGUAUCAAAGGACCAGUGAAAGACAUCUAACACAGUCACCUACCUACUCCUUUCACUUGGCAAAGACAGCUUUGACUGCAACUGUGUGCCAUGGACUGUCUCCUAAAACAAAGCAAUGCUUCAUGUAGGAGAAGUGUCUAAAGAAAGAAACAAAGUUGGCCCAAAGUGUUGCAUGCGGUGCCCUUGAGAUUCUUGUGAUGCUGGAGGAUGUUUCCUAAAAGAAGGAUUGUGUGACAAGAGUAACUUUGUGAAUAAGGCAAUGCUCUGACUUUGUGAAGUGAUCCUGAGGCUUUCUUAGCUUUUUAGUUUAUACAAAAUUUGAAAAAAAACAAAACAAAAAAAAAACCAAAAAAAACCACCUCUGUAUAUUGGCCACAGAGCUUCCAGUUUUUUAGAUAGGAAAAAUGGGAUUUAUCUUUAGCGUUACUCAUGUGCAGUGCUACUUUUCUCCAUCCAUCAGUCCUGGAAUAAAAGGGAUUUCCCUUCAGAAGUAUCUAUCUAGAUCUUCAUAUGUGGACUUCAAAAGAAUUUUCGUAUGUAAAUAUGCAUAUUGUAGGUAUCUGACGUUGAGCAAAUGAAUCCCACAUGAAGUGCUCACUGUGCUGAACUGAAAUCUGGGAGUCUGUCACGUUAUACUUUAGAGAUCUUUGCUAGUAUAGCAGUAUUAAGCCCUUGGGUAAUACAUUACUGUUUAAAUUAGUGCAAAUCUUCUAAGGAUUACUUUCUUUCUUCUUGUAGAAUUUGACUAGAUUAGGGAGGUGUAUUAUGACAAUGCUGUAUUGCGACUUGGUUUUAUCUGAAGGAAGGACUUAAAUUUCUACUGUCCCUGAACUAUGAACGGCUGUGCAUUGAUAUGGCCAGGGUGCCUUUGUGUUAAUAUUGUGUGGCCAGAAUGUCAG
ensembl:lncRNA